rnacentral:rRNA from 1 species
UGAGGAAUAUUGGGCAAUGGACGGAAGUCUGACCCAGCCAUGCCGCGUGCAGGAAGACGGCCCUAUGGGUUGUAAACUGCUUUUCUGUUAGAAGAACAGCCGAUACGAGAUAUUGGAUUGACGGUAUAACAGGAAUAAGCAUCGGCUAACUCCGUGCCAGCAGCCGCGGUAAUACGGAGGAUGCGAGCGUUAUCCGGAUUCAUUGGGUUUAAAGGGUGCGUAGGCGGUUUAAUAAGUCAGCGGUGAAAUCUCUCGGCUCAACUGAGAACGUGCCGUUGAUACUGUUAAACUGGAAUACAGACGGGGCAGGCGGAAUAUGUAAUGUAGCGGUGAAAUGCGUAGAUAUUACAUAGAACACCGAUCGCGAAGGCAGCUUGCCAGGCUGUUAUUGACGCUGAUGCACGAAAGCGUGGGGAUCAAACAGGAUUAGAUACCCUGGUAGUCCACGCCGUAAACGAUGAUCACUGGUUGUCGGCGAUAAACUGCCGGUGGCUAAGCGAAAGUAUUAAGUGAUCCACCU